rnacentral:rRNA from 1 species
GGGUCCGAUUGUACCAGCACUGAUGCACCGGUUCCCAUCAGAACUCCACAGUUGAGCAUGCUUUGGCGAGAGUAGUACUGGGAUGGGUGACCUCCUGGGAAGUCCUCGUGUUGCACCCC